rnacentral:rRNA from 1 species
UACGGAGGGUGCAAGCGUUAUCCGGAUUUACUGGGUUUAAAGGGUGCGCAGGCGGAUAUGUAAGUCAGUGGUGAAAUCUCCGGGCUUAACCCGGAAACUGCCGUUGAUACUAUAUAUCUUGAAUGCCGUGGAGGUAAGCGGAAUAUGUCAUGUAGCGGUGAAAUGCUUAGAUAUGACAUAGAACACCUAUUGCGAAGGCAGCUUACUAGGCUGUAACUGACGCUGAGGCACGAAAGCGUGGGGAGCGAACAGG